AACGAACGCUGGCGGCAUGCCUAACACAUGCAAGUCGAACGAGACCUUCGGGUCUAGUGGCGCACGGGUGCGUAACGCGUGGGAACCUGCCCUUAGGUUCGGAAUAACUCCCCGAAAGGGGUGCUAAUACCGGAUAAUGUCUUCGGACCAAGGAUUUAUCGCCUUUGGAUGGGCCCGCGUUGGAUUAGCUAGUUGGUAGGGUAAAAGCCUACCAAGGCGACGAUCCAUAGCUGGUCUGAGAGGAUGAUCAGCCACACUGGGACUGAGACACGGCCCAGACUCCUACGGGAGGCAGCAGUGGGGAAUAUUGGACAAUGGGCGAAAGCCUGAUCCAGCAAUGCCGCGUGAGUGAUGAAGGCCUGAGGGUUGUAAAGCUCUUUUACCCGGGAUGAUAAGGACAGUACCGGGAGAAUAGCUCCGGCUAACUCCGUG
rnacentral:rRNA from 1 species